rnacentral:rRNA from 1 species
AAUUUGGGACAAUGGGGGAAACCCUGAUCCAGCCAUCCCGCGUGUAUGAUGAAGGCCNNNGGGUUNUAAAGUACUUUGGGCAGNGAANAAAAGGUAUCUCCUAAUACGAGAUACUGCUGACGGUAUGUGCAGAAUAAGCACCGGCUAACUACGUGCCAGCAGCCGCGGUAAUACGUAGGGUGCAAGCGUUAAUCGGAAUUACUGGGCGUAAAGCGUGUGUAGGCGGUUCGGAAAGAAAGAUGUGCAUUCCCAGGGCUCAACCUUGGAACUGCAUUUUUAACUGCCGUGCUAGAGUAUGUCAGAGGGGGGUAGAAUUCCACGUGUAGCAGUGAAAUGCGUAGAUAUGUGGAGGAAUACCGAUGGCGAAGGCAGCCCCCUGGGAUAAUACUGACGCUCAGACACGAAAGCGUGGGGAGCAAACA